AGAAGUCCCACUCCGUAGUUUUCUCAAUUUCCAUUUCUGAUAUUUUCUCUUGUAACAGUAGAGCUGAUAUGUCGUCUGGAAUGUAAUUAAGAAGAAUUAAAGUACCAGUAGCCAAGGUCCUUGAAACUGAAUGCACGUUAAAAAAGGUCAGCGAAUCUGGGGUCCGAAACUAGUUAAUCAUAAAAUCAUACCAGGAUCCGGUUUGAUAGGUUUAACUCUUCCAAUGAGGCUGGGCAAGAAGUCGGUUCUUCG